UACAGAGGGUGCAAGCGUUGUUCGGAAUUAUUGGGCGUAAGGGCGCGUAGGCGGUGCGGUAAGUCACCUGUGAAAUCUCCUGGCUUACUGGGAGCCUGCAGGCGAAACUACCGUGCUGGAGUGUGGGAGAGGUGCGUGGAAUUCCCGGUGGUAGCGGUGAAAUGCGUAGAUAUCGGGAGGAACACCUGUGGCGAAAGCGGCGCACUGGACCAUAACUGACGCUGAGGCGCGAAAGCUAGGGGAGCAAACAGG
rnacentral:rRNA from 1 species